rnacentral:lncRNA from 10 species
GAUAAACAGCCCGGAGCCGAGCCGCCGCGCAGCCGGGCGGGAGGCUGCGUAUCAGAGCUCCUGGCAGGCUCGCAAAAAGCUGUCCCCGGCCCGCCGCCGCUCUAUCAGCCCACGGAGGGAGGGCGGCGGGGGAGGGAGGGAAAAAGUAUUUGCUUCAGCCCUUAAUCACGGAAUUUGAAAUCCCAGCGAGUCGGUGCCAUUUAUUUUCAGAGGCUGUCAAGGCUGGUUUCAGCAUUUAAAAGAAAGGAGGAUAAAACGCAUUUGCAUUUCUCCCCCACUCUCGCUGCGCGCUCGCCGGCGCUCCCCCUCGUUCCCUGCGCAGCUCGCGGGUCGGGCGUUGGCGGGGAGGGGGAGGCCAGAGGCUUUUCAAGGCGCUGGGGGCUCCGGCCGGCCCGGUGGGGGCCUCCCCCCGCCAGAGUCAGGGGUGUCGGGCGAUUCCGGGGUGGGGGCCCGAGUCUGGUCCAGCGGGGCUCUGGGUGGCAGAGGGGGGAAGGUUAAGCGGGGCUGCUGGCUUGGGGAAUUUGGGGCCGUCCGCGGGGCUCUCCUCGGGCUCCAAGCUUUCACCCCAGAAAACAGCCCUGAACCCCAAAUUUGCUCCAGCCCCAGGGGGCCCUACCUGCCCUUCCUGGCUUCCCCAGUGGAAAUCUAAGGUACUGGAGGCUUCCAGGGGAGCCAGGGCACCCCUAGGACAACCCCCUCUCUCUGCAGAUGGGGAAACUGAGGCCUGGAAACAGAGAACGGUGGGACCAAGGUCACAUGAUGGCGGAAGGAGGACAAGGAAGGAGGCUGACUGCGUAUCCAGCACGUGUUCCGUGCCAAGCCUGUGCAGGGGCCAAGGACCGGGGUCUCUGGACAGCGCCGGUUGCUGGGUCCCACGCUGGGCGACAGGGCCUUUGCAAUCAGGCCGACAGGGUUUGAACCCUUGCCGCGGCACUUUCCAGAUGGCCUUGGCCACUGUCCCCUCUCUGACCUUCAGAUGGAGCCCAUGGCACCUCCGGAGGGGGUGUGUGCUUCCAGGACCAAAUCCACUUGUGCGUGGUUAGGCACGAGGUGGGGGGAGGCGGCUCAGCCACCGGGACCUGUCCUGCCUCCACCCUCUGUGCAACCCCUUUCCUUGCCUUUUGUCUCUGUUGCUUUUGGGGGGUGAUUAGCCGCUAGCUCAGCGGCUAGAGGAUUCUCUCCCGGAAAAGGCUCCGGAGUUGAGGCCCAGACCCCCAGGGCAAGACGGAAUCUGCUCCCCAGGGCACUAACUGAGACUCGGUUCCCUCACUGGUAAAAUGAGAAAACUCACUUAUGGUCAGGGGUCCCCGAGUUAAUGCCAGUGAAUUCCUUGGCAGAGCAUCAAGCACUUGGAGAAGCCCCCACCCCCGGUCAUUGUGAUGAUGGUUUGUUUGUUUGUUUGUUUGUUUUGAGACGGAGUCUCGCUCUGUCGCCCAGGCUGGAGUGCAGUGGCGCGAUCUCGGCUCACUGCAAGCUCUGCCUCCCGGGUUCACGCCAUUCAGGGGAGUGGCGCCGAGACACCGUGUAGCGCCCAUGCCAAGGAGGAAGCGAGACAGCAGGAGCGGAGGAAAGAACCCCGGGCUGUGUUGAGGAAGCCUCCUACUUUUGCCUGAAGUGAGCCACCCAGGACUUUGUGACCACAGCCCUAGCAAACGAAUACGCCGCAUUUCACAGGGCCCUACAGACAGGAGAUGGGAUCUAAGGGAAUUAACCUACUUGCAAGCAGAAAUGAAAGGGAAAGAGAAAAUCCAGAAAUGUUGGAUUUGCAGGAUUGAAAAAGGCAACUAUUCCUCAUCUCGGUCCAAUGAAAGAGCAACUAAGUGAGUGCUCCAGGCGCCCAGUGCCCAAAGGUCCAUAGUCCGUGGGAGGAUCCAGACACUGUCACGUGCAGGAGGCCACCUGUGCUGCAGGAGGCUGAGCUUGGGUGCUGUGCCCCCAGCUGGGAGAAGGCUGGGGUGGGCCAGGGAAGCUGUGCUUGGGCACGAACCACUUAUCCCCGAGUUGGAAAAAGGUGCGAUCCAAUUCUCCACCCCAUCCUGCCAGUUCAUCACCCAGACAACCUAGAGUGAGCACCCAGGGCCAUUUUUGGAAAAUCCUGCUCUUUUGCAUAAUAAGUGGGCAAAACAGACACAGUCCCUGCCCCUCUGGCAGUUUGUCGCUUCUGCAAGACUCAAGUGCCAAAUGACAUUUUAGAAAAAAUUUCUGACAUAUUUGUGCUUGGAACACACAAUAUGAUCUUGGAGCAGAUAAGAGUUUUAAAUUUAACUUUGUCUGUCCCCAGAAAUGUAUUGUUUGAGAAGUCUAAUUGUGAAUUUUAAGCUUUCUUUCUUCUUCUUCUUCUUCCUUUUCUUUUCUUUUCUUUUUUUUUUUUUUUGAGACAG